UGUGCACAGAUCUGUGUGGCUGAUGUGUGCGCACAGGGGAUCUGUGUGGGUGUGUGUGUGUGCAUGUGCACAGUAGAUCUAUCUGGUUGGCUGUGUGUAUGUGCGCAGGGGAUCUGUAUGGGUGAUGAUGUGUGUAUGCACAGGGGAUCUAUGUGGCUGAUGUGUGUGUGCAUGUGCACAGUGGAUCUAUUUGGUUGGCUGUGUGUGUAUGUGCGCAGGGGAUCUGUAUAGUUGACUCCAUGUGCGCACAUGGGGUCUGAGUUUGUGUACAGGUGCAUGUUUGUGUACCUGGAACUGUGAGGGUAUGUGGGGUGUGGUGGAGGUGUGUGGGUUGCUUUGGAGGGGGUAUCUGUUCUGUGGUGGGUUUUGUGGGGUGAUGUGAGGAGACGAGCUGGGGUGAGUGAUGCAAAGGGAUCUGUGGAGUAUGUGUUGGGCUGUCUGCCAGGGUGUUGGGUGUACUUUGAGAUGUUUUGGGGUAUGUUUGGGGGUACCUGUGAAGGUGUCUGUGUGGGUGUCAGUGGGGAUCUUGUGGGUGUCUAUGUGGUGGUGCGUGUGGUUUGUGAGUUGUGUUGGUGAGGGAGAUUGUGGGGUAUCUGUAGGGUGUCUCUGGAGUGAGUAUAGAGUUCCUAUAAAGUGAGUGUACAGGUAUUCAUGGGAUGCCUGUAGGGCAUCUGUGAGGGUCUAUGCAUUUGGGUUUGGGGAUUUUUGUGGGGUGUUUCUGGCUAUCUGUGGGUCUGCCCUGUGGGCAAGUGCCUGUGAAGGUGGUCUGUGUACCUGGGGAGUGACUUCUGUGGCUUUUCUGUGUGCUCUGCCUGUGGGUAGCUGUGUCUGUGAACUUAGCUCCAUGAAAGCAAGAAGCCUACGAGAAUUCCACCAGGGGCAAACCUGGCCUUGGCGCUUCACUGUCCUAGCAUGUGUCUGGCCCUCCCAUUCCUGGCCAAGGCCCACAGCCACCGCAGACGACCUGCUGAUGCCUCUGCUGAAAUCAGUGGCCACUGGCCAACAGCUUGGCAAGAGUGUCAGCUCCCUCCCGAGAUGAAAUCAGAGGAAAACCGCCUCUAGUUUCCAAGAAGCACACAGGGAGCCACUUCUUUACCGCUUGCUCCUGCAGGGUUUUGCUCCCCCAGCUCCGCCCUGCAGGUGCUGGUUUGCCUCCUGAGUCCUGUCCUCAGGACAUCCUGCGCAUCUCCUCCUGGUGAGUGAGCUGGGGCACUUCUCCUUCUGGAUACACCUGAAUUACCUCAUUCGCAUCUCAGGGCUCUCUGGGAGGAAACGUGGUGCAGGAACUAGUGUCUUCGGAUUAUGAGGGAGGACGUGGAGGCAGAGGUGAGGAGUGGCAAAAGCCAAGCUGCGGGAAGCCUUUGGGCAGGAAGCAGAGCUUCGGGCUCCCAGGCAUGUCCUCUCACUCUCUCCCAUCGCCCUCAGCAACGAAGCGCUGAGUGUCUCCAAGAUACGAGGUGCUCUUCUCUCCAGCAGUGUAAGAUCUGUUGGAAAGAUGAGACACAUCUACAAAACCUGACCAUGAGGGGGUGACUGAGAGAGGCCUUGGGAGGUGCCGAGAAGGAGCAUUACAGAAGGAGACUGUGUCCUGUGAUCCGGGAGGCUUUUUGAAAGCAAGGGGAUUUGAUCUGAGCACCAAAGAGGAAUUUGAAAAGCUGGCAUGGAGGGAAGGACACAUUCUCGUUGCACAGUUUGUAAGACAAGAUGCUGAGGAAGCUUCCCCAGCUUCUGUGGCAAUUAGGGUGGCCAU